UACGAAGGGGGCUAGCGUUGCUCGGAAUUACUGGGCGUAAAGCGCACGUAGGCGGCUUCUUAAGUCGGUGGUGAAAUCCUGGAGCUCAACUCCAGAACUGCCUUCGAUACUGGGAAGCUUGAGUCCGGGAGAGGUGAGUGGAAUUGCGAGUGUAGAGGUGAAAUUCGUAGAUAUUCGCAAGAACACCAGUGGCGAAGGCGGCUCACUGGCCCGGUACUGACGCUGAGGUGCGAAAGCCAGGGGAGCGAACGGG
rnacentral:rRNA from 1 species